UACGGAGGGUGCAAGCGUUAUUAGGAAUUACUGGGUUUAAAGCGUGCGUAGGCGGCUUUAUAAGUCAGAAGGGAAAGAUCUGAGCUUAACCUAGCAAUUGCUUUUGUCACUGUAGAGCUAGAAUCUGGUUGAGGUCGGCGGAAUGUGGCGUGUAGCUGUGAAAUGCAUAGAUAUGCGGUAGAACACCAAUUGCGAAGGCAGCUGGCUGGGCUUAGAUUGACGCUGAUGCACGAACGCGUGUGGAGCAAACAGG
rnacentral:rRNA from 1 species